AUACGUAGGGUGCAAGCGUUAAUCGGAAUUACAGGGCGUAAAGCGUGCGCAGGCGGUUAUGUAAGACAGAUGUGAAAUCCCCGGGCUCAACCUGGGAACUGCAUUUGUGACUGCAUGGCUAGAGUACGGUAGAGGGGGAUGGAAUUCCGCGUGUGGCAGUGAAAUGCGUAGAUAUGCGGAGGAACACCGAUGGCGAAGGCAAUCCCCUGGACCUGUACUGACGCUCAUGCACGAAAGCGUGGGGAGCAAACAGGAUUAGAAACCCUGUAGUCC
rnacentral:rRNA from 1 species